CCCGCUAGACCCACCACUUCCUUCCCCUCACAUUUCAGGCCAUGCCCUCUUUCCACUGACUUGGGGCACCCAGCCACCAGGUCCCACGUUCUUUCUCCUUGAGUUUAUACAGUCCGGCAGGCAGACAGAAUGUCAGUGCUGGAAGCAUUUACCUUCCUCUCCUUCUGGGCUCUUGGACUUAGCUUAUCCAGAGUGGAGCAGUCCCAGAUAUCUGUGUCCACAGAAGUAAAGAAAAGUGUCGACAUAAAUUGCAAGAUAGAGAGCACGAAUUUUCCAACAGAAGCUGUUCACUGGUACCGGCAGAGAACAAAUCAGGCUUUGGAGCAUCUGAUUUACGUGACCUCGGUAACAGCACCAGCUCAAAACCAAAUAGGUGGAAAGAGCAACAAAGUUGUGGCAAGGAAAAAUUCUCAAACGUUCACUUCAACCCUUACGGUAAAUUUCAUAGAAAAAGAAGAUGUAGGCAUUUACUACUGUGCUGGCUGGAACGUAAAAGUCUUCGGGGAUGGAACAAAACUUGCUGUUACGGGCACUAUAAGCUGGAAGUACAGCUUUAAUAUUGCCCUCCUGAAAAAUCCAGUGCAUUUCAGACGUGGAAUUGAGAAGUUGUACAAAAUAAGAAAUCAACGAAGAGAAAUUCUUCACUUCAGAACUGGGCAUGGACUCCCAUUGGAAGCUGAAUUUCAACUUGAUAGAUUGUCAAGUGAAGAUGGAUGUAGAUUCCCAUUAAUACAAGCAACUGCAUGUUGUUUAAAAAAUGAUAUUCCUUUCCUGACAUUUAUUUAUAUAGGAAUUAAAUAUGGUGCCUUUCAGAAUCAGUUAAAUGAAGAGUGAGCUUCCACAGAGCUGCAGAACAUAUGUGGAAAAGAGAGCAUAAAUUACAAAACAUGAUGAGAUAGGAAAGGGAAGUAGUUUAGAAGCGACCAAAGAUUCUGACCUGUAAAGAAACCAUCAAAGUUGCCUGGUCUUCUGCCCCACCCCCAUCCCCGCCACCACUCUCAUCCACCUUAAAACAGCUUCGGCUAUGAUAAAACAAAAGAGGUUUAAGAAAAGUGACGUGUUCAUGAAUGCUGCAAGUAUAGAUACAGGGCAGUUUUAAGCCAUAUUCCAACUCAGCAAAUGGACAAGAAGCAAAGCUAAGGUGUGAGCCAGCCUCUGCUCCUGAACAGCUGUGACUCUGGGAAAGUUAUAUCACCUCUCCAACAUCUCUUCCUGUUGAAAAUGAGAACUAUAAUAAGAACCUC